GACGAACGCUGGCGGCGUGCUUAACACAUGCAAGUCGAGCGGUAAGGCCCUUUCGGGGGUACACGAGCGGCGAACGGGUGAGGAACGCGUGGACAACCUACCCCGGCGAGGGGGAGUACCCGCCAGAAAUGGCGGCUAAUACCGCGUACGGUCGUCUGACGAGGGGUUGGACGAAGAAAGCAGUGAUGCGCGCUGGGAGGGGUCUGCGGCCGAUUAGCUGGUUGGUGGGGUAGUGGCCCACCAAGGCGAUGANCGGUAGCUGGUCUGAGAGGAUGAUCAGCCACAC
rnacentral:rRNA from 1 species